AACGAACGCUGGCGGCAGGCUUAACACAUGCAAGUCGAGCGCCCCGCAAGGGGAGCGGCAGACGGGUGAGUAACGCGUGGGAACGUACCCUUUGCUACGGAAUAGCUCCGGGAAACUGGAAUUAAUACCGUAUGUGCCCUACGGGGGAAAGAUUUAUCGGCAAAGGAUCGGCCCGCGUUGGAUUAGCUAGUUGGUGGGGUAAUGGCCUACCAAGGCGACGAUCCAUAGCUGGUCUGAGAGGAUGAUCAGCCACAUUGGGACUGAGACACGGCCCAAACUCCUACGGGAGGCAGCAGUGGGGAAGAUUGGACAAUGGGCGCAAGCCUGAUCCAGCCGUGCCGCGUGAGUGACGAAGGCCUUAGGGUUGUAAAGCUCUUUCACCGGAGAAGAUAAUGACGGUAUCCGGAGAAGAAGCCCCGGCUAACUUCGUGCCAGCCGCCGCAGUAAGAC
rnacentral:rRNA from 1 species